rnacentral:rRNA from 1 species
CCUACGGGCGGCAGCAGUAGGGAAUCUUUCACAAUGGGCGAAAGCCUGAUGGAGCAACGCCGCGUGCAGGAUGAAGGCCUUCGGGUUGUAAACUGCUUUUAUAAGCGAGAAAUAUGAUGGUAACUUAUGAAUAAGGAUCGGCUAACUACGUGCCAGCAGCCGCGGUCAUACGUAGGAUCCGAGCAUUAUCCGGAGUGACUGGGUGUAAAGAGUUGCGUAGGUGGCAUAAUAAGUAGCUAGUGAAAUCUGGUGGCUCAACCAUUCAGACUAUUAGCUAAACUGUUAAGCUCGAGACCGUUAGGGGUAACUGGAAUGUCUGGUGUAGGAGUGAAAUCCGUAGAUAUUAGAAGGAACACCAAUAGCGUAGGCAGGUUGCUGGGACGGUUCUGACACUAAGGCACGAAAGCGUAGGGAGCAAACGGGAUUAGAUACCCCAGUAGUC